UUAGUGUUAUAUUCUUAAUAUUUCUUGAUUAGAAAGUGAUCUUGUAGCUUUUUACAAAAUUGCCAUGCAAGCUCUUCCUAAGAAUAAGCAUGAAAUUUUACCGUGCUUCAAUUCUGUAUAUAAGUUCUUACAUUGUCUUUAUCUUUACAUAUGUCAUUACAUAAUCCUUACUAAGGAAAUUUAGGUUAACUUUUGCAUAUGUUUUUCUUACUCUGUGACAUCUUUUGUCUUUUCUGAUUCAAAAGAGUUGUGUUUCCAUGUGACUGAGUUUUACCCCAUUGCGCACAGUACUUGAGGCAGCUGAUUUGAUUUGAGUGCAGUAAAGCUGGUGUGGGAAGGGCAGGCUGCCUGGCACUCUGCAGCUGGAGUGUUUGUAUCAACGCUUAUUUUAGUACCGAAGAGGGAAGCUUGACCAGAGUAGGAUCUAGUAUUUACCACUACUAGAUGGGAAGAAACAACUGUGGCACAUUACACCCGCAGGAAUGUUUUAUGCUGAUGCAAGAUUACUGAUACCUUGGGAUGCAUUUCCAAUCGUGACAGGUUAAAAGUGUGACAGUUUAUAGAUCUAUAAAAUUACUUUUCUUGUUGUCAGAUUUCUGUUUUCCUUGUCUUAGAAUUAAGUUGGAAAGUAUGGCUGCUGUCUCAAACACAGAUAGGCUCUUUUUUUCCACAGCUGUUGGUAUAUCCUCAGUAAAUAGUAAGUACUCAAAUUUUGGAUACUUAAAUAAACUUGUGUUCCUUCAUGGGGGAAGAUCUGUGAAUUGGUGCUUGUGAUGCCUUGCAUGAUAAUG